ACUCCUACGGGAGGCAGCAGUGGGGAAUUUUGGACAAUGGGCGAAAGCCUGAUCCAGCAAUGCCGCGUGUGUGAAGAAGGCCUUCGGGUUGUAAAGCACUUUUGUCCGGAAAGAAAUCCUUGGCUCUAAUACAGUCGGGGGAUGACGGUACCGGAAGAAUAAGCACCGGCUAACUAC
rnacentral:rRNA from 1 species